AUGCAUGAAGCUAGGGGGUUAUUCUGCAAAACUGCAAUCUCUGGAAUAUUAGACAAAAUCGCAGGACGAGAAAAAAAACAUGAUCGGGCUGAAACUGGGCAAGCCCAACAGAGAAAAAAAAAUAGAGGAGGGGGCGCUGGGGGUCAGCUCACCCUGGGCCUUGGCCCAUCUGCAGAGAGAGGCCGGCGGAUCUGGCUAAGGAAGCUGGGGAGGAGGCCGAGCGAGGCUGGACCGCGGGGAGAACGAUUGGGCCGGCCCACGUGGGCGCGGUCAACGGAGGGAGCUGGGCUGGACGCGGAGGCGCGCGCGAGCUGGGCCUGGGCGCGGUCGGCGUUCGUCUCUGGAUCGAUGCCGAAGCAGAGGAGGUCGAGCGGUCAACGGGUACGGCGAGGCCCUCGUCUCCUCGUUCGAUGCCAGGUGAAGCAGAGGGCGGAACGGCAUCCUGCUUGUUCGUUCGCGGUGUGGCCCUCGCCGGGAAGAAGCAGGACGGCGGGGACCCGAGGUGGAGCAGCCGGCGUGAUGCGGAUCCAUGUGCAGAAGAGGGAACGAGGCGCUCGACUGCUGCUGCUGCUUGCGACACAGCGUCCACGGCUGCUCCUGAUUCGGUGCUCCGACGAGAAAGGGGGUCGCCGAGGAGGCUGUUCCUUCGCGGAUCCGAAGGGUGGCGAUGAGGACGAACGGCGGCCAUGGCAGCUCGGUUCCCUGUGA
rnacentral:rRNA from 1 species